rnacentral:rRNA from 1 species
UUUCCGGUUGAUCCUGCCGCCGGCCACCGCUAUCAAGUUCCGACUAAGCCAUGCGAGUCAAGGUAUCGUAAGAUGCCGGCAAACUGCUCAGUAACACGUGGAUAAUCUAACCUUGAGUAAGGGAUAACCUCGGGAAACUGAGGAUAAUACCUUAUAAUUGCUUAAAACUGGAAUGUUUAAGCAAUAAAAGUUCCGACGCUCAAGGAUGAGUCUGCGACCUAUCAGGUAGUAGGUGGUGUAAUGGACCACCUAGCCUCAGACGGGUACGGGCCCUGGGAGGGGUAGCCCGGAGAUGGACUCUGAGACAUCAGUCCAGGCCCUACGGGGCGCAGCAGGCGCGAACACUGUGCAAUGCGCGAAAGCGCGACACGGGGAGCUUGAGUGUCUUGGCAUAGCCAAGACUUUUCUCAUUCCUAAAAAGCAUGAGGAAUAAGUGCUGGGUAAGACGGGUGCCAGCCGCCGCGGUAACACCCGCAGCACAAGUGGUGGUCACUUUUAUUGAGCCUAAAGCGUUCGUAGCCGGUUUUGUAAAUCUUUAGACAAAGCCUGAAGCUUAACUCCAGAAAGUCUGAAGAGACUGCAAGACUUGAGAUCGGGUGAGGUUAAACGUACUUUCAGGGUAGGGGUAAAAUCCUGUAAUCCCGGAAGGACGACCAGUGGCGAAAGCGUUUAACUAGAACGAAUCUGACGGUAAGGAACGAAGGCUAGGGUAGCAAACCGGAUUAGAUACCCGGGUAGUCCUAGCUGUAAACACUGCCCAUUUGAUGUUGCUUUUCCGUUGAGGGAAGGCAGUGUCGGAGCGAAGGUGUUAAAUGGGCCGCUUGGGAAGUAUGGUCGCAAGACUGAAACUUAAAGGAAUUGGCGGGGGAGCACCGCAACGGGAGGAAUGUGCGGUUUAAUUGGAUUCAACGCCGGA